UUACAUCCAAAGCCCUUGACGACAGAGAAGCGAUUCACUGCACAGUAGAGCCCUGGGUAGGGUCGGCGGAAGGACAGGAGAAACUGUAUUUCCAGCCAAGAGCUGCUUUGGGCCAGAGCCAAAUGAUCUCAGGCACUUCUAGACAUCCAUCUGUGGUCAGAGAGCAUGGUGGAGAAUAAAGGAUCCUUUUGAAGAACGCUUUGGGAAGAUGGGACCUGCAGCUCACGGACAGCUUCUUGAUCAGCCUCUCCAUCUCCCGGCACUGCUCCUCCCGCUGCUCAGUCUCCAGCUGUUUGAAGCGGCGCCAGUCGUUGAUCACGCCUUUUGGACCUGAGGUGGGGUGAAUGUGGAGGCGACCAAGGAUGAGCGAGGGAUUAUGGGCCAGCGCACAUCUGUCUAAAGCUGGCUCCAUCGACACCACAGUGACACUCACACAGGGCAGCGUGGUCUACACGCAACCAUGUCCAAGGCAGCCCGGUUUGCAAGUUAAAGGGCCACGCAAAGGCCCAACGUUAGGAGAUGCGUGAAAUAAAUUCAGAUUCAUCUACUCAAAGGAAAACAAAGCGACUCUUAGAAAGAAUGAGGCAGCUAUAUGUUCCCUGCCAUGAAAAAUGUCCAAACAUAUUAGGUCAAAAAAAAAAAAACAACCAAAAUGCAGAACAGUAUCAUGGUAUGAUCCUUCAAUUUUUAGAAAAAGAACUGUAUGUCCAUGUAUAA